GCAAACCCGUCCGAUUUAGCCAUGCUAGUACGCACGAGUUCAUACUCGUGGCAUAUAGCUCCGUAACACGUGGCCAAACUACCCUUCGGAGACGCAUAACCUCGGGAAACUGAGGCUAAUACGUCACACGGCUUUCAGCCUGGAAUGGCGAAAGCCCGAAACGCUCCGGCGCCGAAGGAUGUGGCUGCGGCCGAUUAGGUAGACGGUGGGGUAACGGCCCACCGUGCCGAUAAUCGGUACGGGUUGUGAGAACAAGAACCCGGAGACGGAAUCUGAGACAAGAUUCCGGGCCCUACGGGGCGCAGCAGGCGCGAAACCUUUACACUGCACGCCAGUGCGAUAAGGGGACCCUGAGUGCACAGGCAUAGUGCCUGUGCUUUUCUCGACCGUAGGGAGGUCGAGGAACAAGAGCUGGGCAAGACCGGUGCCAGCCGCCGCAGUAAUACCGGCAGCUCGAGUGAUGGCCGAUCUUAUUGGGCCUAAAGCGUCCGUAGCUGGCCAGGCAAGUCCGUNGGGAAAUCCACGGGCUCAACGCGUGGGCGCCCGGCGGAAACUGCCUAGCUAGGGACCGGAAGGCGCGACAGGUACGUCUAGGGUAAGGAGUGAAAUCCCGUAAUCCUGGACGACCGNCGAUGGGGAAACCANGUCGCGAAGACGGAUCCGACAGUGAGGGANGAAAGCUAGGGUUCNAGCCGAANANAUACCCGGGGAGNUACNAACCCUUAAANNAAUGCNUGUUAAG
rnacentral:rRNA from 1 species